AGAAGUUUAGGAUAUAACAAGUCCAAUAGCCUUCAAAGCUAUAAGAAAACAAACUAGUUUAACUUCUG
rnacentral:tRNA from 1 species